GAAACCGUAUUUGAAGUACAGCCUUCCUAUUCCUGCUGGGAGAGCUGCCAGCACACAGGUCAUUGCUCCCAAGCCCGAGGGACACACGGUAGCCUUUGAGGCCGAGCUGCAGUUCUGCAGUCUAUAAAGCAAGACACACAGGUGGCUUUGCAGCAUGGAAGAACCUGGGAGGAUUGCCUGAAACCCUCCCUGAUACGCUCCCAGCGUGCUGGCCAGCCUCCCAGUGGGAGAUGCAGCCUGACACAGCUCGCUUUUGCCCUCAGGGCCCAGCAUGGUGCCUGACACUCAGGAGGAAUCCAUACAAGCUGGGUGGCAAACACAUCCAGGUGAAGGGCUGGCUCUCAUCUCCUCUUUUUUCCCCGACCUGUCCCCCGCACCUAGGGAAGACUGUUUGAAGCAACAUACUUCCUGCUGCCUGAGCUGCAUGUGUUCUGGAAGAGGCUGCCCAUCUCUCCCUCUUACACACAAACUGCACACACAUGUGGGGAACAGACGAAUUUUUUUAACCAUGCUGUAUUUAGCAUUCUUCUUUACUCAGAAUUUCAACUUCCAGAGUGUGUAUGUGUGUAUGUUGGCCAAUUUUUGCCCACCUUAAAAACAAAUCAUAGGGCCAGCCCCGUGGUGUAGUGGUUAAGUUCCCAGACUCUGCUUCAGUGGCCUGGGCUUCAUGGGUUCAGAUCCCAGGUGUGGACCUACACACUGCUCAUCAAGCCAUGCUGUGGUGGUGCCCCACAAACAAAACAGAGGAAGAUUGGCACAGAUAUUAGUUUAGGGACAAGCAAAAAGAGGAGGAUUGGCGAAUGACCUCUAAUAUCUCUGCUUGCAUCGCUGCGAAAUCCAACAGGCACCUUAGUGAAGUCUCACCCUUUGUUAGGUUCACCAAAGACUUUUUUGGAGAGCAGACUGACAUGUCUAGGGGUAAUGGCACUCGAGACCCAGAGCACCAAGGGCAUUUCUCUUGAAGAAAAGCUAUCUGUUGCUAUCAUUUUGGUCCCAUAUGUGCAACAUAAAAACACCAAUUGUCUUCUCUGGUAGCCACUCAAAUCAGAGACACCUCUAUGGCCCUCCUUGCAGAUCGACUUAAUCACAGGCAUGAAUGCCCACUGGGGGUUGGCAGCAGACUAGGAACCUUGGAUUUCAAUGAAGUCCAAACUGCUUUGAAAUCCAAAUACAGCCAACCCUCAAUUAUCCACGCUGGGGAAAGGGAGUGUGGAUAAUCCUGAACAGCAAAUGAUUAAAAAAUCAUUUUUUUUUUUGGCUUUUGGGAGGUACCAUAUGCUAUAUGCAACAGAGCAGCAAAUUUCCUCUCUAGUUAUGUUUUGCUCAGAUUAAUAUUGCAAUGAGCUUGCAUUUCUCCUCAUGCGCCAGCUGACAGGAGAUGGGGGAAGACAGAGGAGUCCGUACGGAAGCAAGUUGGGUGGCAGGGAAGCCAGCACAAAGGAAAGGAGGGAUGUGGCCCGAAGUGCUGAUGAUGAAUCAAAGGCUCUGGGUCUCCUCCCUCUUAACUUGAGAAGAGAGUAGAAUGUAGGAGGAGAUGGAAGAGAAAAGGAAACUACACACUCUAGAUGGAGAGACCAGAUACAAGAGAGCAAGCUCUCCUGGGGCAUCGCCUUACUUACCAAGCAUCUAUUUUAUGAAUCUGUGACAUGAACAGUCUCCUGAGAACAUCUGGUCUGCUCUAUGGAACGUGACUACUGCUCUCCACCUCCUUGCCUUUGCUUAUGCUGUACCACCUGCCUGAAAUGCCCUUUUCAUCUCUCCCAUCCAAAUUCCAUCCACCUUUCAAGAGACAUUUCCCACCUUUCUGUAAGCCUUUUCCAAUCAUAGCCAUUGGAAACACCUUCUUACUCUCUUCCUCUCCCAUUCUGAAUGCCCUAGCGCAGUUUUCUCUCUCUUAACCUGUUUGGAGCAUAAGCUCCGCGAGGACAGGGUGAGAUGCUGUGUCAGAUCGCUUGGUGUUCCCUUAACACCUGGCACAGUGUUUGGGAUGUGGUAGGUGCCCUCCACCUGGAGACUAAAGGACUAAAUCCUGCAGCAAGGGGUAAAGACACCUUGUAAAGGUGUAAAGAAACUGGUGCUUCUCAAGCUUGAAUGGUGUUAGGCCUGCUGGGGGAUUUGGGGACAGAGUUUCCUGGGAUUGGCUCCCAGAGAGGCUGCUUCUGCAGGUUGGGGGAAUUCAGAGUUAGGCAUUUUCAACAAGAGCUCAGGUGGUUCUGACCACUGAGAAGUUAGUUGUAAACACACAUAUCACCAACGCUCACACGCUGCGUUGAGUCCACCCUUGUGUUCCACUCACAUUUGUUGUCAGGGCCAUCGAAUCAGAUACUCCCAGUGACCCUGUGUACAGCGGAGCAGAAGCCUGCCCGGUCUUUUUGUGCCGUUCCCACAUCUUCCGGCCUUGUAUCAGACAAUGCUCUGCUGCUAUUCACAGGGUUUUCGUGGCCAAUAUUUUUAGAAGUGUGUGUCCAGGUCCUUCUUCCUAGUCUGUCUAGUCUGGAAGCACCACUGAAAACCUGUCCACCAUGGGUGCCCUUGCUGGUAUUUGAAAUACCAGUGGUAUAGCUUUCAGCAUCACAGCAACACACAGUGCCACAGUAUGACAACUGACAAACGGGUGGUGUGGUUCCCUGAUCAGGAAAGGAACAUGGGUCACCAUGGUGAGUGCAUUGAAUUUUAACCACUAGAGCAUCAGAGCUAUCCUCCAUUCAUGCAGCUGAAGCCAAAAGGUUAAGAACAGAGACACUGAGAAAUGCGCUGGGUUUCAUACUUCCUCUCAUACUUCUUAACGCUGAUUUCAGCAUUUCGUUAAGUAGAAAAAAACUGCAAAGAGUAGAGGCUAAAAGAGUACAGAGAUUUGCAACAGAUUUUCCAUAUUUCCUUGAGCUGAAGCCACAUGUUUGCACUUUUUAGUGUCUUUGACAUGCAGUGCACUGGCUAUGCAUGUACUAACUGGGUCGAGCUCUUCACUCCACCCUCAUGUCAAUGAAUUACAUGCAUUUCUGGUGCUACAUAUGUUGAAUUUUAAAUAAUUUCCAAAAGAUCAUACUAUAAUUUGAUAUUGAAAUGAAAAAUUAUUGUGUACCUUGGAGGGUAUGAAAGCAGAGCAGCAGGAUAUAAAUUUGAUAUAAGUGAAAGAAACAUUUACUGGAGGAAUAACCAUACUUCCACAUUUUGCUGCAAAGAAGGAACCAAUCGAACCAAUUGCUUUACAGCCUUGCUACUCACACUGUGGUAGUGGGACCAGGGGUGUUUGCCUCACCUGGGGGCAUGUGAGAACUAUAGAAUCUCAGGCUCCAGCCCAGGCCUAUUUUAUAUCUGCUUUUUAAAGAAGAUCCCCAGGUGAUUUGCAUGUACACGAAAGUUUGAGAAGCAUAGUUUUAUAAGACGUAAGAAGGGAAGAUGUUCACAAGUAGAUAAAGAUGUGUUAUGUUUAGUUAACGGGACAUGCACAAAAGGAUUGCCUAUCACACACGCUAGGCAAAAAGUCUCGUAGAAACAGAUGUCUGUGGCUAGAAGAAAAUAAGGGAGAGAAUAAGAGAGCACGUCACCAAUUGACUUGAAAGCCCAGAGGGCGUUAUUGUGUGGGAAAACAUGGAUAUUGACUGCAAAGUGAUUCAGAAGACUUACACUGAAUGUGAAAAAGCUUGGCAGAACAACCUAGCCAAUUUAUUUUGCUGUUUUCCUUUUUAGAUCUGUAUAAGAGUGAUAUAUGUGAUAGAUGUUUAAAUUAAUCUAAAAGGGCUCUUUCAAUAAGGAAACUAAUUGAGAGAAGUAUUGUGUCAUAUUUUAAUUAGGAACAUUCUUUUUCCUUAACGAUAUGUCAAAUGAUGACGUAUCUUACAACGAAAGGCAUCUCAGAUUUAAAGAAAUACAAGUUUCACACACUUGACCACAAUUGCCUUUUCUCUCAGAGUUUAAAUUUCAAUAAUCAUUGUUUCACUCUGAUAAUUCCUAACAUUAAGGUGUUUUACAUAAAAAAUAAAGUUUUGAAUUUGUUGAUUCUGCUUUUUAAG
rnacentral:lncRNA from 1 species